ensembl:lncRNA
ACCCUAUUAUGAGGCUGCUAGAACACCAGUCGUAAAGAGGAAGCAGAACACAACUCAUUCAUUCAUUCAAGCAUCAAUUCUUACCGAGUAAUCUGUGGGAUGUGAGGCCGCACUCUGGACAUUCAGGGAAGCAAGGCCAGCAUUCUCUUUGGCCAGACUACACUGCCAGCUGGGCACACUUUCCUAGAGAAGAUAACACUUUAAAGAAGAGGAAAAAUCAAUGCUGAUAGAACUCCUUCUCUGGUUCCUAAAAUGAUAUUGUCCCCCGUGGCUGGUGAUUUGAGCCUGGGACCGAGCUGGGCAGCCUGAGCCCUGCAUGGAUGCAAUCUUGCGAGCGCCUCAAACCUGGCCGGAUCAAUAAACAAGAGGCAGUGCCGAAGCCAGCUGGGUGGAGGGGGGCUGGGUUCAAGGGGCAAAGUCUACCAUUCCUCUUCUACUCCCUGAAAGAGGACAGGGACCCUCCCUUCAGUCCGAAGUCCCCGGGGACAGGCCCUUAGUCUGUCUCUUGUCGCUGCCGCUCCACUGAAACCACUCUCUUCAAGGGCAUCCUCACCUUCCACAUUGCCCAGGCCAUGACCAAAGACCCAAGUUUCCUCACACAGUGGCAGCUCAAGGGGUUCCUGAGGCCCAUCUGCCUGGUACCUGGCAUAGAUUUCUGCACAGAGGUCACCUCCGUGGGAAGAGACUAGGAUGAGGUUUCUGUGGAUGUCAAGACCAGCCUUCAGCCCGUGUUCUGAUGCAACCGCAGCUGCUGCAGGGCCCACAGCCUGAGGGGCUUCACAGGUUGAUGUGGUCAUCUCAGUUUCCUCAGAUGGAACGUGAGCAGAAGGGAUGUGUUCUAGCGUCAGGCCUAAGCCACAAAAAGCCCCUGGGAACACUCCUCCAUUCUUGGCAGCUUCCAUCAGCUGGACACAGAUGACGAUGAGGAGCCAGGGAAAAGUGAAGCCGCAAACUAGAGGGAGGCUGGGUCCCUGAGUAACACUUCAAAGACUGCCACUUGAGCAGGAAAUAAA